AGUCCGAUGUGAAACCUCAAUAAUUUUUUUUUUCAUUAUUUCACUCUACCAUGGCCAUGGGCUUAAGGACUCGAUCUUUCGAUCAUCUUAAGACUAUUUCUCUCAUCUACCGAGAUUGAUAGAUCCCAUCUUGGUGCGACCUAGUUCCUACAAUGAAUAUGCUACAGCCAACAUACACCUCAAGGUUCCAAAUGGUUAGG
rnacentral:lncRNA from 1 species